CUUUCAAGCCGCAGGUUCGAAGGGAAAGAAGGAGGGGGUGCAGGGGGAGGAGCCGUGGACCUGCGACAGGGGCGGGGGGAGGAGCCGAGCGGGCACCGCGGCCGGCUAGCGGAGCUGCUGCGGCGGCGGCGGCGGCAGCUCCGGCCAGGAGAGGCACUAAGUACUUCAACUCCCAUCAGGCCCUGCAGCGCCAGGUCUAUGAAGCCGCAGCCACGCGAGCGCAAUGACUGCCGGGAACUGUAGUCUCUAAGCUUAUGGGGAGCUCGGGGCCCGGAGGUGGGAGGGGGUAGCUGGACCUCCUGGGGGUUAUCUGAGGUCGAGCAGCUGGCCCGAGUAGGACGCGAUGUCAGGCUCGGACUGAGCUUUUUCUCACGGCCACGGCCCCCAGAUCCGGCACCCCCUCCCACCACCUGGCUCGUGGGGACAGGUCUGCAGUCCCUUGUCCACUCUACAACCCGCAUGGGCUACCGCCAGCCGCCGCCUCAGCUGCCACCCAGGACACGGCAGGGAUAAGCGCAGCACAGGACCCGCUGGCCACCAUGUCAGGCGACUACGAGGAUGACCUCUGCCGUCGGGCACUCAUCCUGGUCUCGGACCUCUGUGCGCGGGUCCGAGAUGCCGAUACCAGUGACAGGUGCCAGGAGUUCAACGACCUGCGAAUCCGAGGCUACCCCCGGGGCCCAGAUGCAGACAUCUCCGUGAGCCUGCUGUCGGUCAUCGUGACGUUCUGUGGCAUUGUCCUUCUGGGUGUCUCCCUCUUCGUGUCCUGGAAGCUGUGCUGGGUGCCCUGGAGGGACAAGGGGGGCUCCGCAGUGGGCGGUGGUCCCCUGCGCAAGGACCUAGGCCCUGGGGUCGGUCUAGCAGGCCUGGUAGGUGGCGGCGGGCACCACCUAGGGGCCGGCCUCGGGGGCCAUCCCCUGCUAGGGGGCCCGCACCACCACGCCCACGCAGCCCACCACCCCCCCUUCGCGGAGCUGCUGGAGCCAGGCAGCCUCGGGGGCGCGGACCCCCCUGAGCCCUCCUACUUGGACAUGGACUCGUAUCCAGAGGCUGCAGCCGCUGCAGUAGCUGCGGGGGUCAAACCCAGCCAGACCUCUCCGGAGCUGCCCUCUGAGGGCGGGGCAGGCUCGGGGCUGCUCCUGCUGCCCCCCAGUGGUGGGGGCUUGCCCAGUGCCCAGUCGCACCAGCAGGUCACAAGCCUGGCGCCCACCACCAGGUAUCCGGCCCUGCCCCGCCCCCUCACCCAGCAGACGCUGACCCCUCAGCCGGACCCAGGCAGCGAGGAGCGGCCGCCAGCCCUGCCCCUACCCCUGCCAGGUGGGGAGGAAAAAGCCAAGCUCAUCGGACAGAUCAAGCCGGAGCUUUACCAGGGGACCGGACCUGGCGGGCGACGGGCCGGCGGGGCCCCGGGCUCCGGAGAGGCCGGCGCGGGGGCACCCUGUGGCCGCAUCAGCUUCGCCCUGCGGUACCUCUACGGCUCCGACCAGCUGGUGGUGCGGAUCCUGCAGGCCUUGGACCUCCCGGCCAAGGACUCCAACGGCUUCUCAGACCCCUACGUCAAGAUCUACCUGCUGCCCGACCGAAAGAAAAAGUUUCAGACCAAGGUGCACAGGAAGACCCUGAACCCAGUGUUCAAUGAGACGUUUCAGUUCUCCGUGCCCCUGGCUGAGCUGGCGCAGCGCAAACUGCACUUCAGUGUCUAUGACUUUGACCGCUUCUCCCGGCACGACCUCAUCGGCCAGGUGGUGCUGGACAACCUCCUGGAGCUGGCGGAGCAGCCCCCCGACCGCCCGCUGUGGAGGGACAUCGUGGAGGGCGGCUCGGAAAAGGCGGAUCUUGGGGAGCUCAACUUCUCUCUCUGCUACCUCCCCACGGCUGGGCGCCUGACCGUGACCAUCAUCAAAGCCUCUAACCUCAAAGCGAUGGACCUCACAGGCUUCUCGGACCCUUAUGUGAAGGCCUCUCUGAUCAGCGAGGGGCGGCGUCUGAAGAAGCGGAAAACCUCCAUCAAGAAGAACACGCUGAACCCCACGUACAACGAGGCGCUGGUGUUCGACGUGGCGCCCGAGAGCGUGGAGAACGUGGGGCUCAGCAUCGCGGUGGUGGACUACGAUUGCAUCGGGCACAAUGAGGUGAUCGGCGUGUGCCGCGUGGGCCCCGACGCUGCCGACCCUCACGGCCGUGAGCACUGGGCGGAGAUGCUGGCCAACCCGCGCAAGCCCGUGGAGCACUGGCAUCAGCUGGUGGAGUUUUCCCGUCUGUGGAAUGGGGCUGUGCUACCACUUACGCCAUCGCUGCAGAGCCGAGCCCAACAGAGAACUUUGAAUGAUGCGAGCAGGGUGGUGUCUCAUUCGGUUGACUAUUAGCCGUUGCCUUGCCUCUGUCCCCCACUCUCGAGCCUUCUGGAUUUCUCCCUUCAGGAAAAGACUUUGACAAGUUUCACGAAAGGCAGCAAAGGAUUGUCAGAGAAAGAGAACUCAGAGUGAGGGGUCUGGCCCAGGCUCAGGAUCGGACCAGGCCCCUUCAGGAUUCCACCCCUUCCUGCCCGGACUGUGAAUUCAUCUCCUCGAAGCCAUAACGCCCGAGCCGAGUGGUGCAGGGCAGCCCUGGGCCCGCCCCUCCUUCUGCCCCCAGAUGCAUGGGGGUGGGAGGCUGGCAGGCCCAGCUCCCUGUUUCAGGGUGGGGGGCAUUCAGUCUCCACUGUGUCUGUCUUCCCUUCCCCGGGGCUCCCCAUCCAGGCGAGGGGCCAUGCAUGUCUGGGGGACCCCUGCCCCCCCCAACCUCCGUCUGUCUCUCUGUCUGUGUCUUUGCUGUUUGUACAAGACUUGGUGUCCUAACCCUCGUUCUCGCUGUGAAUGUCAAUGGACCACUCCUCCGUGUUCCCCUGGAUACACAUCCCUGUGUCGACCGUUUCUGUUCACCACACUCCGCGUCUAGCCCCUCCUCCCCACUGCUGCUGCUAUCAAAUGCCAGAAUAAACACUCACCGUGGGUCUCACUCCA